AUUGAACGCUAGCGGCAUGCCUUACACAUGCAAGUCGAGCGAGUGGCGGACGGGUGAGUAAUGUAUGGGAAUGUGCCCGGUAGCGGGGGAUAACUACUGGAAACAGUGGCUAAUACCGCAUACUAUCGGAUGAGCCCAUAUUGGAUUAGCUAGUAGGUGGGGUAAAGGCUCACCAAGGCCACGAUCCAUAGCUGGUCUGAGAGGACGACCAGCCACACUGGGACGGAGACAGGGCCCAGACUCCUACGGGAGGCAGCAGUGGGGAAUGUUGCACAAUGGGCGAAAGCCUGAUGCAGCCAUGCCGCGUGUAUGAAGAAGGCCGUCGGGUUGUAAAGUACUUUCAGCAGGGAGGCGUUAUCUGCAGAAUAAGCACCGGCUAACUACGUGCCAGCAGCCGCGGUAAUAC
rnacentral:rRNA from 1 species